UGCUAAGGUGUUGCUAGGCGGUUGCUAGGGUGUUCUGGGUGGUUGCUAGGUGGUUGCUAUGGUAACCUGGGUGGUUGCUAGGCGGUUGCUAGGCAGUUGCUAAGGUACUUGGGGUGGUUGCUAAGGUGUUGCUAGGCGGUUGCUAGGGUGUUCUGGGUGGUUGCUAGGCGGUUGCUAUGGUAACCUGGGUGGUUGCUAGGGUGUUGCUAGGCAGUUGCUAAGGUACUUGGGGUGGUUGCUAAGGUGUUGCUAGGCGGUUGCUAGGGUGUUCUGGGUGGUUGCUAGGCGGUUGCUAUGGUAACCUGGGUGGUUGCUAGGGUGUUGCUAGGCAGUUGCUAAGGUACUUGGGGCAGUUGCUACGGUGUUGCUAGGCGGUUGCUAGGGUGUUCUGGGUGGUUGCUAGGCGGUUGCUAUGGUAACCUGGGUGGUUGCUAGGGUGUUGCUAGGCAGUUGGUUAGGUACUUGGGGCUGUUGCUACGGUGUUGCUAGGCGGUUGCUAGGGUGUUAUGGGUGGUUGCUAGGCAGUUGCUAUGGUAACCUGGGUGGUUGCUAUGAUGUUACUAGGUGGUUGGUAGUUGUCACAGAUGGUUACUAUGGUGUUUUUAUAGAGUUCUUAGCAUGUUCUUAGACACUUUAGCACUUAGCUAAUCACUAUUAGCAUGUAGCUAUU